UUGAGUAAAAUAAGCACAAGUUAUAGUUUAUUUAAAGUAAUACAGAACAGAGAAUCAUGCUGAGUGAUUACUAAAGAUUUACUAAGGCUUGUAUUUCAAGCAUGAACACUUUAUUUAUGAGCGCUCUACAGUCAACAAACUGUCUAUAUGCUGUGACUAACCUGCCAGGUUCCAGAUAAAAGUGCAAAUAUUAACAGUCCUAAUGUUCAGUUAAAUGUUAGAGAAAUGGCUGUAUGUUGAUAAAGAAAGUAACAUCUUAAGUUGUACACAUUUUUGUCAUGUACGUCCAAUACAUUAAUGCUUUAUAUAUGAUUUUUAUAGAUGGAAAAGCUCCAACAUCUGUACUGAAGCUCCUCAGCAGUGUAGCAACAGCCUCCCUGUAUGUGCUGGUGACCAUCAUUCUGGCAGUGAAAUGUUACAGAGCUCGAGCUGAACCCGAUGAGGACAACAGACCAUACAGAGUGAUAGAAGCUGAAACGUCUUUCUGAGUCUCAGGUUAUAACAUUAUCUAAAACGUCCGUCUUUUAAAUAACAGCAGGUUCCAGUGCAACAGAGAACACAUACAUACAUGUCAUGAUGUAGUAAUGACUGGUUGUGAGGCUUUAAUUUCUCUAAAAGUGUUAAGGAUUUUUUAUUGAGUGAUUUCAUUACUUGAUAUACUGUAUUUUUACCGUAUUUUUCUAGCUAUAUGGUAUAGUUUGUUUUAAUUGAAUAAUAAUUUUAAGAAUAUAGACAGCAUUUACACAAUGUAGCAUUUAUAUAAUUGAAUAAAGCUUUUUUUCUUUCAUUUUUAAGUACUGUAAAUACUUGGGCAAAAGAGUUUUGUUAAAAGAUUUUUUGAAUGUGACUGAAUUUUGAUUCAGUGUUUUACCUCAUUUUGUUUUUGCCUGCAUCUGUUUUUGUUGAUCACCUUACACUUUCCUGUUUGUUGACUUUGAUUCCAUAUUAAGUUUUGUACAUUUUGCUUGAGCUGUUCCUAAUAAACCAUCCACU